AUCUCUCACCAAAAGAUCCUAAGAACAUUAACUCCUUCUCUUUGAAAUUUACAAGGGAUUUUUCACAACCUCAAAACAUUACUUAGCUCCUAACAACUUUGCUAGCCACCUUUUUCUUUCUUUUUCUUUUCUUCAUUUUUUUAUUUUCUUUUCUUUUUUAUUUCAUUUUUUUUAUUAUUAUUAUUUUUUUUAGGUGGGAGCCAAAACUUUCAUAACUUGAACUAGAGGUUUAUCUACUUAUCCCAAUAAAACAAUUCACUUAAACACAAAGAGUCAUUUCUUUUCCUUUUUCAUUGCUCCCAAAUCAUAAUCACAACACUCAUCCCCCACCUAUAGCUAGACAAUAGAGUGCCCAAUCUAGC
rnacentral:lncRNA from 1 species